AACGAACGCUGGCGGCAUGCCUAACACAUGCAAGUCGAACGAGACCUUCGGGUCUAGUGGCGCACGGGUGCGUAACGCGUGGGAAUCUGCCCUUGGGUUCGGAAUAACAGUUGGAAACGACUGCUAAUACCGGAUGAUGACGUAAGUCCAAAGAUUUAUUGCCCCGGGUUGUGCGCGCGUAGGAUUAGAUGGUUGGUGGGGUAAGGGACUACCAAGGCGACGAUCCUUAGCUGGUUUGAGAGGAUGAUCAGCCACACUGGGACUGAGACACGGCCGAGACUCCUACGGGAGGCAGCAGAGGGGAAUAGUGGACAGUGGGCGAAGGCAUGAUCCAGCAAUGCCGCGAGAGUGAUGAAGGCCUUGGGGUUGUAAAGCUCUAUUAACCGGGAAGAUAAUGACGGUACCGGGAGAAUAAGCCCCGGCUAACUCCGUG
rnacentral:rRNA from 1 species